rnacentral:tRNA from 1 species
GGGGUUGUAGCUCAGUGGUUAGAGUGACCGCCUGUCACGCGGUAGGCCGCGGGUUCGAAUCCCGUCAACCCCG